CAGUAGCCGCGGUAAUACGGAGGGUGCAAGCGUUAAUCGGAAUUACUGGUCGUAAAGCGCACGCAGGCGGUCUGUUAAGUCAGAUGUGAAAUCCCCGGGCUUAACCUGGGAACUGCAUUUGAAACUGGCAGGCUUGAGUCUUGUAGAGGGGGGUAGAACUCCAGGUGUAGCGGUGAAAUGCGUAGAGAUCUGGAGGAAUACCGGUGGCGAAGGCGGCCCCCUGGACAAAGACUGACGCUCAGGUGCGAAAGCGUGGUGAGCAAACAGGAUUAGAUACCCGCGUAGUCCCUGUCUCUUAUAC
rnacentral:rRNA from 1 species